rnacentral:rRNA from 1 species
AUCAGAGACUUCUGGUGGGGAGACAAGGAUGAACAUAGAAAAGUUCAUUGAAUGUCAUGGGAGAAUAUGACAAAACCUAAGAGGGAUGGAGGCAUAGGUUUUCGAGAUAUGCAUUAUUUCAAUCAAGCGCUGCUAGCCAGGCAGGGAUGGAGGCUGUUGCAAUUUCCGAAUAGUUUGUGUGCACGGGUUCUAAAAUCUAAAUACUACCCCAACGGUGAAUUACUAAAUAUUGUAUUCUCCUCAGAUGCUUCCCCCGCGUGACGAGGCAUUGAAUUUGGACUCGAGCUUCUGAAAAAGGGUCUCAUCUGGAGAGUGGGUAGCGGAAGGAAAAUCCAAAUUGAGAGAGACCAAUGGAUUCCACGAGACGAAGACCUAAAAACAGCGCGUUUCAUAAGCCGCUCUAGACUGAGAUGGGUCAACCAGCUAAUGCUUUCGGACACAAAGGAAUGGAACAUUGACCUCAUAAGGAGAAUUUUUCAUGCUUUUGAUGCAGACGAAAUCUGCAAAAUCCGAAUCCCCGCUGCUGAAGUAGAGGAUUGUGUGGCUUGGCACUAUGAAAAGUCCGGCGUCUUUACUGUCAGGAGCGCCUACAAACUUGCCGUCACACUAAGAAGAAAUGGAAGGGAGGCUCCCUCUAGAUCGUCGAGUGAACCCGGGAACAGAAGCAUUUGGGAUGUCAUAUGGAAAGCAAACAUUCCAGAGAAAAUAAAAAAAUGGGUGGAGAGUGGCGAUCCAAGCUUUGGCAACAAAACACAACACCUUCAGAAGGACCAUUGUGAAGGAAGAUACAUGUGA